GAUUAAGCCAUGCAUGUGUUAGUGUGAAUAUACUAGUUUGGGACUGCGAAGGGCUCAUUAUAUCAGUUAUAGUUUAUUUGGUGAAGUGUACAACUUGGAUAACCGUAGUAAUUCUAGGGCUAAUACAUGAGAAAGUCCUCUGGUGAGGUGUGUUUAUUAGAAUGAAAACCAUAUGCUUCGGCAUGAUAGUGAGUAAUAGUAACCUAUCGUAUCGCAUGCUUAAUGUAGCGAUGAGUCUUUCAAGUUUCUGCCCUAUCUGCUUUCGAAGGUAGUAUAUGGGCUU
rnacentral:rRNA from 1 species